UUUGCUUGGGUGCCCCGAUACUCUCUCCCUUGGUUGAACAAAUUGUUGCCGCCAUUGCUAUCACCGCAAUCCUGCUGCUGUGCCGUAGGCCUUGUCGCCAGUAAGCUCCUCUUCUGUAUGUGAAAAUUUCACCAUCGACUACUUACCUCUCUCUAGAUCUAUAAAUCUCACGAAGGCCCUCUCUCUCUCCCUCUCUCUCUCACUAAUUAGUGCUGCCCUAGCCUCUCUCUGGGCCAGCUCCCUUUGUGAAAUUUUGACACCAUGUUGCACUACCAGCUGAGCAUUUCAGAGUGCCGGCCACCUCCUACUAUUCAAUUGACUUGGUUAGUAACACAGUUCAUUAUCCCACCACUUGAGGGCACAGAUCUAGCAGACCAAGGUAAUCCCAUAUGCUUUUUGUUUUGUAUGGAGAGUCGGAGCCUCCUUUCCCCUCCUGUAUGCCUGAUAUUUCCCCAUUUUUUGUCGUAUAUUCCUAUAUCUGGCUCUUAUUUUAAACUUUUUCCCAUUAUUUCUUGUUUGGCUACCGAGAAAACUAGGAAAAAUCUAUGACAACACUCUGUUUUGAACUUUA